rnacentral:lncRNA from 1 species
CCAACUCCCAAAACUACUAGAAUUUCAUGAGAAAAGCAAGCAAAAAGUUUAAAGAAAGAUCAAAGAAUAGAUAAAGGGAUCCUAAAACAAAGAAAUCAGUGCAUUGAUAGAAUAGCAAUCACUACAAUAUUGUUAGGAAUUUCAAUUUAAUGUCUCUACUAUAUCAUGGAUUUACUUGCCAUGGCCACGGCGAGGCCAAUUAGCUAUCAGUACAAUAAGUGAGGACACUUGGCUGGCAAAGGCCAUAAACGGAGGACCUUUCAUGUGUCAACACGCAACAGCACAUAGAGGGGUGAAAAUGGU